rnacentral:rRNA from 1 species
AACGAACGCUGGCGGCAGGCCUAACACAUGCAAGUCGAGCGAGACCUUCGGGUCUAGCGGCGGACAGGUUAGUAACGCGUGGGAACGUGCCCUUCUCUGCGGAAUAGCCACUGGAAACGGUGAGUAAUACCGCAUACGCCCUUCGGGGGAAAGAUUUAUCGGAGAAGGAUCGGCCCGCGUUAGAUUAGAUAGUUGGUGGGUAACGGCCUACCAAGUCUACGAUCUAUAGCUGGUUUUAGAGGAUGAUCAGCAACACUGGGACUGAGACACGGCCCAGACUCCUACGGGAGGCAGCAGUGGGGAAUCUUAGACAAUGGGCGCAAGCCUGAUCUAGCCAUGCCGCGUGUGUGAUGAAGGUCUUAGGAUCGUAAAGCACUUUCGCCAGGGAUGAUAAUGACAGUACCUGGUAAAGAAACCCCGGCUAACUCCGUG